GGGAGCCGUGUGCGGUGAAAGUCGCAAGCACGGAUCUAAAUGAGAGGGGCGAAGGAUAAUACCUUCCCUCGACUCAAC
rfam:Crocosphaera watsonii WH 8501 ctg331, whole genome shotgun sequence.